rnacentral:miRNA from 3 species
CACUGUGUCCUUUCUGCGUAG